UCCAUACUUGCUGGGAGAUUGAGUAAUUGGUGUCUGGAUGUGCGUGUGCUGCUUCCCAAAAUACCUCUUUAAAAAGACGUGAGAGGGAUGCGGAGCCAGUAGGGAUGGCAAAGCUCGCUAUCACGUGGAUCACCCAGACUCCCUCAUUUUACUGGUUCUUCACAGCACCCAGGAAGAUUUUAGAUGGACCUCAAAUACAAAGGCUGUGAGGAGCCCUAUUCGUUGUGUUGACACCACUGAGAGAUUAUUUUUUUCCCAGAGAAGAAAAAGGAGACACACCUGACUUUUAACCUCUUUGAUCCCUUAAAAAGUUAUUUUCCCAGCUGGGUGCAGUAGCUCCUGCCUGUAAUCCCAGCACUUUGGGAGGCCGAGGGUAAAGCAUUGGCUUCCGUAUCUUUCAAAUUGUCCCGAGUGAUUCUGAUCCACAGUGAAAACUGAAAACUGUUCUAAUAUUCACCUUGCCGGAAAAGUAAGACUAUGUGAAGUGAACCCUCCUUCAAAUUGGAGAAGGAAGCUUUGAGAUUUCCAGGGAAGAUGGAAGACAGAACAGAAAUGACUGAUUUUGAAGAUUGAGAAUUAGGAAUAUUGUACAGAUGCUGUCAUUCCUACAUGAAGGAGGCAGAAGAAUGUAGCAAGCUCAGCUCUCUAAUGCCAGGAGUGGCACUUUCAGUGACCAGAGCUCCCUGGGUCCUCUGUGUAUCCCUCCCCUGUCAACUGAUUCAACAGAGGCUGGGCUGGUCCUGGCAUUAGCACAUUUUUGAAUCUGCCUUUGGCUGUGACUUCACCCAAAGACAGAAAGGGGAAGUUUCUGGUCUACAUAGCCAACAUGUGGUCUUGAUAAUAAAUCAUUGCUUGUU
rnacentral:lncRNA from 1 species